rnacentral:lncRNA from 1 species
GUUGGAUCAUGCAAGUAAAUGAGACACCAUGGAAAAGAUAGACUUUUUCUAUAACAGGUAAGAAUAAGUUGCACGCUAUGCUUGAACGGAUUCCCUUGGGGAGACUAUCCAAUGUUUCUUUCUGUUUCAGCCCCUCUGUUUUAUAUCUUAGGCAGAUAUGAGAUAGCAUUUCGUCCUUAAUAUGUCCAGGCAACUGAUUUCUUGCAGCAAACUGAGAGGCAGCAUGGAUUGUGUCCCUCUGCAGUAUGGAAAGAUGAGAACGAUUAAGAGGUUUAAAUGCACUUGAUAUUUGCAAAAAUAGAAGGUAUGUACUGCUUGGGAAUGGUAGAGUUUUUAUGAAUUUUUUACCAACAACCAAUCUUAUCUAAUCUAAGUUCCCAUUCAUGAUUCUACAUGCAACUUUAUUGUUAGUACAGUUCUGUACCAAAAAGAAUUGUAUAGCAAUACUCAUAUUACUUCUAGCUGUGUCUAUGCAUGUAUGCACAUACAGGUGCACAUUCAAUUUGCAAGAGUUUUCACAUGCAUCUCUACAGCACAGCCUUCGAUUUCCAGACAUGCUAGUGAUAAGCUUAAAAAUCCAUAAGCAAAGUACUUAUUUCUCUCUUUUUUUUUGUUCCAGUUAUUUUGCAAAUCCACAAAGCAGGAAUAUCAACAUCAUCAAAAUUGCUAUAGGAUUUCUUGAAGUUAUUGGAAGAGUACGUACAAAAUUCCUGGUCCGGCAACUUCCCUGAACAACCAGAUUUGUCAUGUUACCUAUGAGGUAUGCUGUCAAUCCCAGGUUAAAUAGCAUGUAGCAUAUGCUAAAUAACAUUUCUCUUUGAUUCUCUGCAUGCAAAUCCCCAUAACCAGUUGUUGUGAGUGUUGUUAUGGACCAAUAAAUUGCCGUAACAUAUCGAACCCACAGAUUUUGUGAUCUGUAGUUUGGUAUUGCUGCUCCUAUCCAUGUUCUUGCUGGAUUGGGGUAUCUAUCAGCUAUUAAAUAAUUGAAGCAUCCUGAACAAUGUACCGCAAAAAGUGUAACCUGAAAUUUUUACAAAUAAUAAUAAUAAUAAUAAUAUAGAACUAAGUUUUCUUCAUCAAGGUAGUGUACUUCGAUUUUUUUUCUUCUUUUUUUUUUAAAUUUGAAGAGGGAAAUGAGAGCAUGCAAACUUACAGAAAUUAGUUUGGUGCACCUUAUCCAGUAGUAAUUCAAUCGGAUAUCCUUUUCGAGCCUAGAGGAAUUGUUUUACCAUAUCAAUUUUCAUUUAAGUUUUUUGUAAGUUUCAAGAUGAAACGGAAAAACACUGUACCUGGCAAAUAAUUCACUGAGGCGCCGGAGACGCCAUAAUCGAAGCAUGCUAAGUAACCUAUAAGCAAGGCCAUUUUCAUGCUUUUUGAAGAUUUGCCCAAGCAGUUGAUAUGGAAUCGUUGAACAGACAUCAAAAAGGAACCAGGAAGAGAAAUAUCUUCAUAUACACUAUUGUCAGUUUUGUUCAACAGUUAUCUUUGAACGUGUACUGUAGCAUUCAAAAUUACAUACGUGAAAAAACUGACCUAGCCACGAUCCUUUUUGGAUCAUCCACUAGAAGAUAUGACUUUUGAUCCAGAUACGCUAGAAAAAAUGUGAGAAUAAUAUCGAUUGCAAAGAAGCUGUCAAUAAUAUUGUCAACAAGAGAAACCUUCCAGGAGAGAUUUCUCAGAUAUGCUAGUUCAAAUGGGCAGAUCCAAGCUGAAUAAACAACAAGCACGAGCAAGAACGUCUCCCAGGUCCUAUGCAGACAUAAACAAAAAGGAACUAACUAUGUAAAUUAACUGUGUUUUGUGUGCAUAUUCAUAUAUGAGCAAGCAAAUAUCGAUCUUACCUGUAACGGGAAUCAUAUGGAGAAAUAAUGAAUUUUCUCAGCUUGAUAGAUUGGUUUGCUCUUGCUCCUAGAGGUGGGAGUGGGUCAUUGUGAAAGAUAUUGCUAAUAGUUUCCAUUGGAGUGUCUAGUUAGAAGUGGGAGGUGCCUAAGUCGAGAUCUUAGUUCCUAGAGGCUGUUUUUAUUACUGACAUGUUGGUGGUACAUUUCUGAGUGUGCCAGGUAAUCUUGACUAGCUGAGUGUGAAGUGGUAGCUGUGAAUGCAGCAUAAAUAAGGGUUUGGUUUGGCUUCAGGAAAGAAGAUGGAGGAAACAAUGAAUUAUUUGGAAAAUAUUGUUUUAUUUGGUUUUGUUAUUUCUAUGUGAAAUAAAAUCAAGUAUUUCUUUCAAAAAGGAAAAUAAAACCAAGUGGUCUGGUCUUAUUGCUCGUGAUUUGGUUGGUUAGCUAUGAAUGAGUUGUAAAUGUUUUGGUGUACCAAGUGGUCAGGUAUUUGGAGACGACGCCUGCCAAGUAUCACUUUUUAGAUAUGAUGGGCAGCCUUUGCAGAGUUCUACAUUGUAGCAAUCGGAGAUUAAGAAAAUUUUGAACUUUUUUUUAUAGAAAAUGAACUGUUUUUCCCCCCUGAAACGGACCCAGCUUCAGCUGAUUCUAUAUUAUAGCAAGAAGAGCAGAAAUAUCACUCUGUUUUCAUUAGUUCGUGCAUGUUGUUUCCAGGGACUCCUUGUAUACCCCGAACUAUCCCAGUUCUCUCCUAAUAUCCAUAAUUCAUAAUCUUUGCUGUCUGCAUAGUCGCAUAGAGCAUGCUUUUUGAGGUGCAAAAUUACGUGUGAAUUUAACUGGAAAACCUCCUGGCAUCUGAAGGUUCAUUCCAGUUGGACCUUUCGUAAAUAUGGGAUGGCCAAGGGUAUUGAAUUAUCUCAUUGAUUCUCGUUUGCAGAAGUGCUUAUUUAACCAGUUUUCCUUUAUAAUUUUGUACUAUUUUGAGAAGAUGUCGACAUUACAGCACGAAGAGUUUAAAUGUCAUUGCAAGUUGCAACUCUUAGUUCAAUGACUGCAUUUUGCCAGUGAAGCUGUACUGUACAUCUUCUGAUCAGUUGAUAAGUCUAUUAAAUGUCUCUCUGGCCAUUUUCGAGAACAGCGAAAGCUUGCCAUCAGUAUCAUUAUGUAUGAUCCUCGAGCCAUCUAAACAUGUACAAGACAGUAAAAGAGAUUUUUUUUGGUUAAUUUUUUGAGAAUAGCGAAAGCUUGUCAUCAGUAUUAACUAUCUAUUGAUCCCCAAGCUAUCUAAACAUUCACCAGGCUCUUAGGUUUGUUUGUUAAUUUUGGCUGCAAACGAAGAACUCACGGCUAAUUUGGAUCAUUUCACGUGUCAUCUUGUUUCUGACUUUGCAGGGUCCAGAGAGAUCAUGGAACUGGAUGUGACAAUUAGUGAAAAAGAAACAUCUUGUUGUCAGGAGGACGUGAAGAAAUGUACACAGAUUGCUUUGGCUUCAGUUUUCCCUGCCUUUAUCACGGACUUCCUGGGAGCUUAUGGCUUGCAGGAAGCCUAACUCAGAGAUCUGGUCGACCUCGUGUCCAAUGCUUUCUUGUAAUUUCUUCACAUGCAUCUACUUGAUCACUUUGUUUCGUGUGUCGCCUUCAGCUCGGCUAGCUUGUGAUCCCGAGUUCUAGAAAAGCAUCUGGAAAUGAAUUGAGUUCUACUUUCAGGAAGGGAUAAGCUUGAUUCUGUGCUCCGAUCGAUUAGGUCACUAAUGCGAAAUUGUUUCAUCCAUGCUGUUGACCAGUCAUGUCUAAAUUCUGAAUUCUGGCCAAAUUGAAAUAUUCAUGACUAAAAAAAAUUCCGUACAUUGCAACAAGAUCUAAUAACAUUAGAUAAUCUAAUUAAGACUAAACAAUCACUCUCAAACUCCAAUUAACAAUGACAGGAUUAAAAAUAGCCUAAAUAGGCUAUUCGAUCAACAUGUUGUGCAUGAAGCAAAUAGGGAUUUAAACAUAGUGCUACUGCUGCAUGGCCGGUGCCACAUUGGUCAACAAAGAUGGAGCUCAUAGAAAGAGGGUUGGGAGAGGAGAGGUGAUUGAUUUGUGCUUUCUCACUUACUUAGGGGGUGUUUAAAUGUAGGGGUGUAAAGUUUUGGCGUAUCGCAUAGGAUAUUAUAUAGGGUAUCGCAUGGGGUGUUCGGGCACUAACAAAAAAUCUAAUUGCAAAAUACGUUAGUAAACCACAAGACAAAUUUAUUAAGCC